rnacentral:lncRNA from 1 species
AGAAGACAUCGGUAUUGCACUAACGCAACUCAAGAAGAUGAUGGUAUUGCACCGAAACACCUUAAGAAGAUGUUGGUAUUGCAUCGAUGCACCUUAAGAAGACGCUGGUAUUACACCAACGCACCUUGAAGAAGACAACAGUAUUGCACCGACACACCUUUAAGAAGUCGUCGGUAUCGCAGCAUCUCAAGAAGACGUCGUUAUCACAUCGACACACUCUCAAGAGGACGACAGUAUCA